rnacentral:rRNA from 1 species
GAUGAACGCUGGCGGCGUGCCUAAUACAUGCAAGUCGAGCGAACAGACGAGGAGCUUGCUCCUCUGACGUUAGCGGCGGACGGGUGAGUAACACGUGGAUAACCUACCUAUAAGACUGGGAUAACUUCGGGAAACCGGAGCUAAUACCGGAUAAUAUAUUGAACCGCAUGGUUCAAUAGUGAAAGACGGUUUUGCUGUCACUUAUAGAUGGAUCCGCGCCGCAUUAGCUAGUUGGUAAGGUAACGGCUUACCAAGGCAACGAUGCGUAGCCGACCUGAGAGGGUGAUCGGCCACACUGGAACUGAGACACGGUCCAGACUCCUACGGGAGACAGCAGUAGGGAAUCUUCCGCAAUGGGCGAAAGCCUGACAGAGCAACGCCGCGUGAGUGAUGAAGGUCUUCGGAUCGUAAAACUCUGUUAUUAGGGAAGAACAAAUGUGUAAGUAACUAUGCACGUCUUGACGGUACCUAAUCAGAAAGCCACGGCUAACUACGUG